rnacentral:lncRNA from 1 species
UGAUGUUGCUGGCUUAAGACCUUUCAACUCCUAAGGAGUUAAAAGAGAUAGUGGUAGUAGUAUUCACCAAACCUGAACCCUUCAAUGACUACUAAACCAUUUCCCACCAGCCCUGGCUUCUAAGUCUUCAUUCUAUUGUCACCUCACUAAUUUUAACCAGUCAAUUUGCAAACUAGCUAGCUCCAAGAUAGGAUGAGAGAUGAUGUAUUCAAUAUGUUAUUGGUAGAAGGACAUAAACAAUACUAUCUUUGGCAAUAUCAUCACCCUCCUAAAUGGUUUGUUACCUUCCAUACAAAUGUAAUUUAAAAGGUAAAAUAUUCACUUCUCCCAUAUCAUGGAAAAAUAGGUACCAUGCAAAGCCAUUUAAUUAUGUCCAUAUCCCUCCCCUCA